CGCAGAUGCACUUUACAUUUCCCGUUACCGUCGUACAAUCUAACGAUAAGGUUCCACACGUACGCGGCCAACUUAAUUCGAUCGUGACGAAGCCGCUGACGCCUCUACUGGGGGGUCACGUCCACAAUAAGCGCGGGCGGAUCCUCUUAUAGGCCGAUAGGCCUAGAAAGCAGCGUAUUUCGAAAUCGAACGCACAACACAAAAUCGUUUGAUUGGGCGACAUUGGACAUUUUAGAUUCUGAGCGAAGCGAAGGAUCCGUUGUUUUCACUAUGAUGCGCGUUCUUCUGGAUUCGAUCGUCCAACAGUCAUUAAUCCAGCGUGUCAUUAUUACGUUUGUCCCGGAUACCGGCUGAAUCGUAAGCCGUUCGCCGCCGUCGCCGCCGUCGCCGCCGCCGCAUAACACGACGCAUAUCAUAUUUAUAAUUACCGAUUUUCCGACGACGAGUCUGUCGUACGUAACACGUGCUUUUUAUAUCAUUGUGCCCUCGAAAUCGCCGGCUUUCAAACUGCGCGCUUUUAAAAGCCAUCCUAAGCGGUUCAUUAACGCCGUAUAAUAUAACGAGCUUCGCGAUAACCCCUCGCGACGUCGGCAGCCUGCGUUAUCUACGCGCGUGAGAUUUCGCAUUGUCUUCUCUCUCUCUCUCACUCGUUCGCCUCAGGCGCCUGUGUACAUAGGUACCUGCCAUAAUCGAUAACCCGUUCCCUUGUGUUCCCCUACCGGUCGUAAACUUUCUCGAUAAUUCCCCCGUAUUAUCCGGUUGGCGCGCGUACGCUGCAGCAACAAACGCUCCGACCCUCCUUACCCCCCG